UUUUUUAUUUAUUUCUUUUUUACUUUUUAAUUUUAAAAAAAUAAUAUAAAUUGACAAUAUUUUGUUUUCUUUUUUAAAAGAUAUCGAAUAUGAAAUAACCAGGCCCGGGCUUGAACGAAAACAUUCAAUACAAAUUUAUGGGGCCUCCUAUUUUUGUCAAAAUUUUAGGGCCUAUUUUUUUCAAUGUUAUUACUUAUAAAUAUAUCAAUUUGACAAUUUGUUAUGUGUAUAUAAACUGAUAAGUAAAGAAAAUUGUGGGACAUCACUAACAUACAAAGAUAAUUAUAUUUUAUAUAUUCUAUGUUAUUAAAUAUGAGUAGAUUGAAAGGCAAAAAAAAAAAAAAGGGAAAAAAAAAUUAUGACAAACAACAAAAAGGGAAAAUAACUGAUUUUGAAUAAUUAUCUUCUAGGUUAUUUUUUUUUUCUUCGCAUACAUUCUUCACGCCUCUUCCACUGCCUCAUCAGGUACCAAAAUCUCAAAUUUCUGAUUUUAGUUUUAACUUUGUUUUUGAUUUCUUGUCAUCAACAUCAUAGAUGAGAAGUCACAAUAGUUUUGUUUAAUUGUGUUUCUAUGUUUUCUAGUUUUAGAAUAAUGAAGUCAAAAUAUGAAAGUGGAGCUAAGAAGCGGGAGAAGAAAAAGAGAGAAGAAGAAUUGAGAAAAUCCCAAUCAGGUGCAAUGUUGAUGUAUUUUAAAAAAGCAAAAUCUUCUAGUACUGAUCAAGAUAGUGGAAUUGAUAAAGAUGUUAGAAUAGAAGAUGAACAUUGUGAGACUUCUAAAAAAGGAGAAGAAGAUGGAACUAGAGUGGACUGUGCAAGUAAAGAGAAAGAAGCAAGUGAUAAUAUGGCUGAGAAAGAUGAUGAGGAUGAUACUCAAAACGGAGAUGUUUCCACAGAACAUGAUUCUUUUGUUGAUGUUUUGGAUCCUGCAAACUGGGGAAAAAUUGAUCAAGCACCGAGGGAUUCUUUGGUUAGUAAAGGUCCUCUAGCAAGACCAUCUCAUGAUUAUACUUUUCCUAAAAACUCCAUUGGUAGACACUUCUCUCAUAGACAUUACAAAAGAUGUAUGAAGAAUGGGGAUACACAAGAUCGACAAUGGCUGGUUUAUUCAAAAAAGUCAGAGAAAAUUUAUUGUUUUUGCUGCAAGUUGUUUGGAGGAGACAAAGAUACUACUCAGUUGGCUAGUACAGGAUUUAAAGAUUGGAACAAUGUUCAGUUAAGGCUUAGCCAACAUGAAAGUAGUCAUUGUCACAUCAAGUGCAUGAGCCAUUGGAUAGAAUUAGAGUUAAGAUUGCAAAAAAAUCUAACAAUCGACAAGCAUAUCCAAGAAGAGAUCAAGAAAGAGAAAAAGCAUUGGAGAGAAGUUUUAUUGAGAUUGUUUUCACUAGUGAAGACUAUGGCUAAAUGCAACAUAGCAUUUCGUGGAAGCAAUGAUAAGAUUGGUCAGGAUAACAAUGGAAAUUUUCUUGACUGAUCCAUUUAUCCAAGAGCACAUCAGGCGAAUUAAAGGAGGAGAAACUCAUUAUCACUAUCUCAGCCACAAAAUUCAGAAUGAAAUAAUAUCAAUGUUGGGAUCUGAGAUGAAGCUGAUGAUCAUUAAGAAGAUUCAAGAUGCUAAGUAUUUCUCUGUCAUACUUGAUUGUACUCCUGAUAUUAGUCACAAAGAGCAAAUGUCUCUUAUUAUUCGGUGUGUGGAUGUCUCGGUAGAUUCAGCUCAAGUUGAAGAAUAUUUUAUCCACUUUUUGGAAGUUGAUGAUAAGUCAGGGAAAGGACUGUUUGAUCUACUUUGUGACACACUGGAUGAUCUUAAUUUGGACAUUGAUGAUGUGAGGGGACAAGGCUACAACAAUGGCUCAAAUAUGAAGGGGAAAAACAAAGGUGUGCAGAAAAGAUUGCUUGAUGUUAACCCAAGAGCUUUUUACACACCAUGUGGUUGUCACAAUCUGAAUUUGGCACUUUGUGAUAUGGCUAAGUCGUCUGAAAAAGCGAUUGAUUUCUUUGGGAUCAUCCAGCGUUUAUAUAAUUUAUUUGUACCUUCUACGACCAGCUCCAGAAAUCCGAGAUGCUUUGUUUUACUUGGCAGAAACUACUAAUGAUCCUCAAACUCGGAGUACUGCUGAAUGUCUCGCAAUAAGUGAAACACACGGAAUUGGAGGAUUUGAGUUUUUGUUUGGUAUGGUUAUAUGGUAUGAGAUUUUGGCUGCCAUUAAUAUUGCAAGCAAGACUUUGCAGGCUGAAGAUAUUGAUAUUGAUGCUGCUAUCACUCAGCUAAAGGGAUUAGUCUCUUUUUUUCAAAAGUACAGAGAGACAGGAUUUGAAGAAGCCAAAGCUGAAGCCAAAAAAAUUGCAAUUGUUAUGGAUAUUGAACCCAUUUUUCAUGUGAAAAAGAAGCGACUUAUUAAAAAGAAAACACAUUUUGGUGAAGAGUCAUGCCAAAUUAUUGGUGACAAUGUGGUUCUAAGCGAGGAAGAGAGUUUCAGGAUAGAUUAUUUCAUCAAAAUCAUGGAUCAAGCUCUGGUGUCUUUUCAAUCAAGGUUAGAACAAUUUCAAGAGUAUGAGAAAACUUUUGGUUUUUUGUUUGAUCUUAGAAGGUUCAACUCAUUAAGCGAUGAUAGCUUGAAGAUAUCAUGUAGCAACCUUGAAGAUUCUCUUAGGCAUGGAGAACAUUCUGAUGUCGAUGGAAAUGAUUUAUUUUCUGAAAUCAAGCUUUUUCGAGGUAUUCUACCUGAAGAUAUCAAGAAGAGUGCUGAGGUGCUAAAUUUUUUGAGAAGGUACAAGAAGGGUUAUCCAAAUAUAUGGAUUGCCUACCUAGUAAUGUUUACAAUCCCGGUUUCAGUUGCCUCAGCCGAAAGAAGCUUCUCGAAGCUGAAGUUGAUAAAGUCUUACUUACGGUCAACUAUGUCACAAGAAAGAUUAAAUGGUUUGGCUAUGUUGUCGAUUGAAAAGGAUAUGAUCAAGAAUCUUGAUUAUGAAAGUUUGAUGGAUGAUUUUGCAGGAAAAAAUGCAAGAAGAUCUAUAUUUAAGAACUGAUAAGUUUUUUUUUUUUUAGUUUUGAGGAUAUUGUAAUUUUUUUAUUAUAAACUUGAGUUUUUUAUCGACAUAUUUUUUAUACAUUAUCUAGGGGCCUCAGUUUUGUAUUUCGUAUUGGACCAUGAAAAUCUCAGGACCGGCCCUGGAAAUAACACAAUCCUAUUGGUUGGUGAACUUAGAGGUUUACCCUAGGGGGUGAAUCCAAGAAUAAUUCUUUAUGAGAAGUGUUCUGGUGGAGAAGUUAUAGACAAUUUUCUAUAUUUUGUAUCCAGAGACUAGAGUACUUCACUUAUAUUCUUCUGUAGUUUUGGGCUUUGAUGGUACUUAUUAUGCACUUCUAGGAUUCGAACCUCUUGAAGAAUCUUACUCAGGAUUCGAGAAUAAUUGUGGACUCCUGAAUACAGUGCGCUUAAAAACAAAAUGACUUAAGAAAGACUAACAUUUUUAUUUUAUAUUGCGCCAUUAAUGUUAUUGCCAAGGUGUUAAAAAUUGACAAAUUCACUUUUUAGGUAAAAUGUGAAGAUUUAUACAUUCUUAAGUUUUACGAUGUUGCAAACAACUUUUUUUUUUUUUAAUAACAUAUUAUAAAUCAGCCCGAAAAACGAGAAUAGGUUUCGGUUACAAGCUCGAUUCAAACAAAAGUUUCCUAGUCUAACGAAUUACAAAAUAGCUUCGCCCACCCACUAAACCCAGCACAUUCCGCUAAUCUGCUUAUAGUAAACAUUAGAAAUCGAUUCCUGUUCUCUACCAUCAACGAUAAUCAAGAGAAAGUGAGGUUCUCCUCGUUGCCUCAGAUGCCGGGAGUUCCCGUGUCGCCUUUGGAGUAGCUAGGUCUCGAUGAUCUCCUCGAAACUUAUAACCGUCACCUUCAUUACGAGCAAACGCUAACGAAGAAGGGAAUUAGAGCACAAACCUGAAAAUGGAUCCAAUUCCCGCUAUACAAACUUCGGCAGCGCCAACCCGGUCGAGGCCAAGAGAUACAGAGAUCUCCAUACCAAGAACGGAAAAACAAGAAGUCGGGAACGAGAUGGCCGCAGCGCAUGAACCAGAACCUGCUCGGAGACCUGAAAGAAAGCAAGAGCCGCUAACACUACCAUGACAUCAAAGAGGAGGCCAAGGCACUAGGAUGUGCGCAGCACCGGAUGGAGCCACCGACAGAACCAUGAAGACCCACUGACCAAACAAGAACUUCACGACCGUCACUGUAGAAACCCAUAAAAAAAAAAAAAAAAAGAAGAAUGGUCGAGUAUCUUUUGGGUGGUUGAGUCACAGACGAUCAGAUUGUUUUUGUCUGAACCAUGAGUCAAAUAUCCCACUAGACAAUGGUUAGACAAUGUGGUAUAUUUACUC